UUCUUAAUGAAAUAAUUUUAAGUAAUACCUGCUCAAUGAUUUUAAAUAGCCGCAGAAUUUUAACUGUGCUAAGGUAGCAUAAUCAUUAGCCCUUUAAUUAAGGGCUUGUAUGAAAGGUAAAACAUUUCAUUUUCUAUAACUAAUAAUUUUAACUAAAAUUAAAUUAAGAAUAAAAAUGUUCUUAUCCAUAAAAUAGACGAUAAGACCCUAUUGAACUUUACUUAAGUUUAGCUGGGGCAGCUAAAAAAUAAUAAUCUUAUUAAAUAUUUUUCUUUAAACGACCCAAAUUGUUUGAGUUUUUGAAUAAGUUACCAUAGGGAUAACAGCGUAAUAUUUUUUUGAAGCUCUUAUUUAAAAAAAAGAKUGCGACCUCGAUGUUGAAUUAGUAUUACUUUAUUAAUGCACCUAUUAUUAAAGCGGGUCUGUUCGACCUUUAAAAUACUACAU
rnacentral:rRNA from 1 species